UACGGAGGGAGCUAGCGUUGUUCGGAAUUACUGGGCGUAAAGCGCGCGUAGGCGGUCUAUUAAGUCAGGGGUGAAAUCCCGGGGCUCAACCCCGGAACUGCCCUUGAAACUGGCAGACUAGAAUCUUGGAGAGGCGAGUGGAAUUCCGAGUGUAGAGGUGAAAUUCGUAGAUAUUCGGAAGAACACCAGUGGCGAAGGCGACUCGCUGGACAAGUAUUGACGCUGAGGUGCGAAAGCGUGGGGAGCAAACAGG
rnacentral:rRNA from 2 species